rnacentral:hammerhead_ribozyme from 1 species
GAACUGCUGAAGAGUCCCAUACUAGGACGAAAUGGUCAUCCAGAGC